rnacentral:tRNA from 1 species
GGAGUUGUAGCUCAGUGGUAGAGCACUUGCCUCACAGGCAUGAGGCCCUGGGUUUGAUCCUCAGCACCA